GGGCCCGCACAAGCGGUGGAGCAUGUGGUUUAAUUCGAUGAUACGCGAGGAACCUUACCAGGGUUUAAAUGCAGAACGACAGGGGUGGAAACACCCCCUUCUUCGGACGGACUGCAAGGUGCUGCAUGGUUGUCGUCAGCUCGUGCUGUGAAGUGUCGGGUUAAGUCCCAUAACGAGCGCAACCCCCAUUUCUAGUUGCCAGCGGUUCGGCCGGGGACUCUAGAGAAACUGCCAGCGUAAGCUGUGAGGAAGGUGGGGAUGACGUCAAAUCAUCACGGCCCUUACAUCCUGGGCCACACACGUGCUACAAUGGUGGGGACAACAGGUUGCCAACCCGCGAGGGUGAGCCAAUCCCAAAACCCCAUCUCAGUUCGGAUCGGAGUCUGCAACUCGACUCCGUGAAGUUGGAAUCGCUAGUAA
rnacentral:rRNA from 1 species